UGCCAGCCGCCGCGGUAAUACGAAGGGCCCGAGCGUUAAGCGGAAUCACUGGGCUUAAAGCGUACGUAGGCGGAUGCGUAAGCGUCUUGUGAAAUCCCACGGCUCAACCGUGGAACUGCAGGGCGAACUGUGCAUCUUGAGGUCGGUAGGGGCUGUCGGAACGAUAGGUGGAGCGGUGAAAUGCGUAGAUAUCUAUCGGAACGCCAAAGGUGAAGACAGGCAGCUGGGCCGAUUCUGACGCUGAGGUACGAAAGCAUGGGUAGCGAACGGGAUUAGAUA
rnacentral:rRNA from 1 species